GAUGGAAAAUUCCUAAGGGAUGGCAUGAUCCAAUUAGUGAAACAGAAAAACAAAGGUGAUUUCAGGAACUUCAUAUAAGUGCAUGCUUCUACUAGAAUUAGAUCAAUGCGAUCCCUUUGGAACUUUCCAC